rnacentral:sRNA from 1 species
AACUGUUUUAAAUCGAAGAGAUGAGAACCGUAAAGGUUCGAGCCGAACGACGUGAGACAGCAACGAGAAUGCGUUGACCCGUAAGGGUGAGUCUGUAGGACGAAUAAUCCCGAACGACCCACCA